GUUGAAUGGAGAAGUGUGUGUGUGUGUGUGUGCGUGCAGUCUAUUUUAGAAAAUAUGAUGUUACUCAUGUCAGCAUAAGAACAAACAAGACGGGGAAAGGGGAAUCCCUUUUAAGAAUAGCAGAUACUGCAAGAGUUUAUUGAGGGAAGAAUCCGUUAUAACCAUCUUUCAGCAUACAAAAAUAGUUCUAAUGUAAGAAUAUAUGGCUUGUUUAAAACACUCAUUAUAAACACUGAUGAACGUGAUUGUCUCAACAUCUCCUCUUUCAAUCAUGGUGUCAAUAAGAGAAAUACAAUGAAAAUCCAUCAUAUUUGCCCAUUGUAGGCAAAAUAAUCUAAUAUAUAAAGGAGAGUACAUUAUAUUCACCGAUACAUGAAACACUGGCCUGGAUAACUAUUUGAUUUUUGACUUCUUCAAAGCGCUAUAUUUGGGAUGAAAUCAGGUGAAUGUUGAAUGAAACAAUGGCGUCUUGUAGAGACAUGAUCUUUCCUCCUAUGAUAAUGAUUCAUUAAAAAAAUACAUAUUUGUACGAUCUUUGGUUUGAAAAGGUAAUAGAACUUUCACAAAUAGUUGCACAUGAUUUUAAAGACAAUUAAAAACUAAUGCCACAGGAUAUAAUAAUGUUCUGGUAAUGCUAACAAAACUAAUAUAUAUUUUUAAUAAUGUCCCUCUUUAAAAUAUAUCAAAUAAAAUCCAAAUUAUUAAAAUAAUGGCAUCUUGGAGAUUUCUCUAAAUGUGUGAGCUUUUUAAACAACAUGGAAAUAAUAUUCCACUCCCACAUUAUCAUUUUAAAAUAACCUAAAACCUGACCUCUUGGAAGCAAUCAGUAAUACUUGCUAACCAGUAAAACUGGUCAUAUUCCGGAUCAAGGCAGAGUUGAAAAGAAGGAUAAUACAUGCCAGUCCUAUUCCAGAUCAAAACAAACCACAGCCAUAUGGUAAGUGUGAGUCAAUGCCCCGAGACCUCUCUCCUCUCAGGAGGAUGGCUCAAGCUCAGAGUCUCCAACAGCCUCCGUUUCGCAGAGGAUCUCCCAGGUAGAGGCGGAGCUACUCAUGUGGGUGGGGCUUCGGUUGCUGCCAGACCGUGUCAGGAAACCAAAGCUGCUCCGAAUGCGAGAUUCAGCUGGUUUUUCUUCAGGGCCGUCCGUCUCGUCCGUUUCAUCUAUCUCAGCCCUCCCAUUGCAAGGGGCCUGCUCUUCCUCAUCACUGCGAAACAGAGUACCGGUAGAUAAAAAAACAAACAGACAAUGUUGUCAAUUCAAGGCUUCCUUAAUGUACUAGACUACUUUUAUGUACUUGUUUAAUUUUUACGUGAAAAUGAACGAGGCGGUUGUUGUGGUUGUCCUGCU
ensembl:lncRNA